UGCAGAAGUACCCAAGUGGCUAUAAGGGGCUCCCCUGCUAAGGGAGUAGACGGCUUAAACCCGUGCGAGGGUUCGAAUCCCUCCUUCUUAA
rnacentral:tRNA from 1 species